rnacentral:rRNA from 1 species
UACCAACUUGUCAAUGCUCGAUUUCAUCUGAUCUCAGAAGCUAAGCAGGGUCAGGCCUUGUUAGUACUUGGAUGGGAAACCACCCUGAAUACCAGAU